rnacentral:rRNA from 1 species
UACGUAGGGUGCGAGCGUUGUCCGGAAUUACUGGGCGUAAAGAGCUCGUAGGUGGUUUGUCGCGUUGUUCGUGAAAACUCACAGCUCAACUGUGGGCGUGCGGCGAUACGGGCAGACUGGAGUACUGCAGGGGAGACUGAAUUCCUGGUGUAGCGGUGAAAUGCGUAGAUAUCAAGCGGAACACCAGUGGCGAAGGCGAGUCCCUGGACAACACCUGACACUGAGGCACGAAAGCUAGGGGAGCAAACAGG